rnacentral:lncRNA from 1 species
AGGUGGCUGUAUGCAUGCUCUGGAGAGCAGGAGCACUCUGUGUGAGUAGCGGUUCCUGAACAGUCUCCUGUUCGGAGCCUGGGAUGACAGUGAACUCACUUCCCGCCAGUCUGCACCUCCACGUUGUACUGCAAGGAGGACGAUGCCACGUGGUUCUCACCAUGUAUCAAACAGGUUGUAGGCUGAAGUGAUGGCAGGCUGACUGAC